GAUGAAGAACGUAGCGAAACGCGAUAUGUAAUGUGAAUUGCAGAAUUCAGUGAAUCAUCGAAUCUUUGAACGCACAUGGCGCCUUCCAGUAUCCUGGGAGGCAUGCCUGUCCGAGCGUCGUUUCAACCCUCGAGCCCCCGUGGCCCGGCGUUGGGGAUCUGCCCAGGCAGUCCCCGAAAACCAGUGGCGGACCCGUUACAGGCCCUUCCCUUGCGUAGUAGCAUUCGCCUCGCAUCGGGAGCCGGCGGGCUUCCAGCCUCUAAACCCCCAUCAAGUCCGCCCCGGGGGGACCAAGGUUGACCUCGGAUCAGGUAGGAAUACCCGCUGAACUUAAGCAUAUCAAUAAGCGGAGGA
rnacentral:misc_RNA from 1 species